rnacentral:rRNA from 1 species
UACGUAGGGUGCAAGCGUUGUCCGGAAUUAUUGGGCGUAAAGAGCUCGUAGGCGGUCUGUCGCGUCGGCUGUGAAAACUCGGGGCUCAACCCCGAGCCUGCAGUCGAUACGGGCAGACUAGAGUGCUGUAGGGGAGACUGGAAUUCCUGGUGUAGCGGUGAGAUGCGCAGAUAUCAGGAGGAACACCGGUGGCGAAGGCGGGUCUCUGGGCAGUAACUGACGCUGAGGAGCGAAAGCGUGGGGAGCGAACAGG